UCCUACGGGAGGCAGCAGUGAGGAAUUUUGGUCAAUGGACGCAAGUCUGAACCAGCCAUGUCGCGUGAAGGAGGACGGCCCUAAGGGUUGUAAACUUCUUUUGCAGUGGAAUAAAGUUUGCCACGUGUUGGCGAUUUGCAAGUACGCUGCGAAUAAGGAUCGGCUAACUCCGUGCCAGCAGCCGCGGUAAUACGGAGGAUCCAGGCGUUAUCCGGAUUUAUUGGGUUUAAAGGGUGCGCAGGCGGGGAAUUAGGUCGGCGGUGAAAUUUCGGGGCUCAACCUCGACAGUGCCGUUGAAACCGUUUCUCUUGAGUGCGGAUGAGGUAGGCGGAAUUUGUGGUGUAGCGGUGAAAUGCGUAGAUAUCACAAGGAACACCGAUUGCGGAGGCAGCUUACUAAACCGUUACUGACGCUCAUGCACGAAGGCGCGGGGAUCAAACAGGAUUAGAUACCCUGGUAGUCCACGCAGUAAACGAUGAUUACUUGCUGUUUGCGAUACACAGUAAGCGGCGUAGCGAAAGCGUUAAGUAAUCCACCUGGGGAGUACGUUCGCAAGAAUGAAACUCAAAGGAAUUGACGGGGGCCCGCACAAGCGGAGGAACAUGUGGUUUAAUUCGAUGAUACGCGAGGAACCUUACCCGGGCUUGAAAUGCAUUCGACGGGGUUGGAAACAGCCUUUCCCUUCGGGGCGGAUGCGUAGGUGCUGCAUGGUUGUCGUCAGCUCGUGCCGUGAGGUGUCGGCUUAAGUGCCAUAACGAGCGCAACCCUCAUCAUUAGUUGCUAACAGGUUAAGCUGAGGACUCUAGUGAGACUGCCAUCGUAAGAUGCGAGGAAGGUGGGGAUGACGUCAAAUCAGCACGGCCCUUAUGUCCGGGGCGACACACGUGUUACAAUGGAUGGUACAACAGGCAGCUACUAGGCGACUAGAUGCUAAUCCCAAAAACCAUUCUCAGUUCGGAUCGAAGUCUGCAACUCGACUUCGUGAAGCUGGAUUCGCUAGUAAUCGCGCAUCAGCCACGGCGCGGUGAAUACGUUCCCGGGCCUUGUACACACCGCCCGUCAAGCCAUGGAAGCUGGGGGUACCUGAAGCACGUAACCGCAAGGAGCGUUCUAGGGUAAAACUGGUAACUGGGGCUAAGUCGUAACAAGGUAACCA
rnacentral:rRNA from 1 species